rnacentral:rRNA from 1 species
UAUCUCUGUAGAGUCUGCAUAUCAAUAAGCGGAGGAAAAGAAACUAACAAGGAUUCCCUUAGUAACGGCGAGUGAAGCGGGAAGAGCUCAAAUUUGAAAUCUUCAAGGUUUUACCUUGACGAAUUGUAGUUUAAAGAAGUGUUUUCUGUUAGAUGAGUUCGGUAAAAGUUCUUUGGAAUAGGACAUCAUAGAGGGUGAGAAUCCCGUAUUUGACCGUUAUUAUUCUAGCUGUGUGAUACACUUUCAAAGAGUCGGAUUGUUUGGGAAUGCAGUCCAAAAUGGGUGGUAAAUUUCAUCUAAAGCUAAAUAUUGGCGAGAGACCGAUAGCGAACAAGUACCGUGAGGGAAAGAUGAGAAAGAACUUUGAAAAGAGAGUUAAACAGUACGUGAAAUUGUCAAAAGGGAGGCGUUUGACACCAGUGUUGUUUUUUCCAAAAAUCAAUUACGAAUGGCUUGAUUUUGUGUUGUAUUGACCUUAUCAGCUUUCUUCACUUUUUUCGAGUUUUUCUUAAUGCACUUUUUGGUUAACAAGUCAACAUCAAUUUCUUUUGUUGUAAAAGAGUAUUCGGAAGGUGGCUUUCUUUUCGGAGAAAGUGUUUAUAGCCCUAUACUUCUACAAUCGGAGAGAUUGAGGUCUGCAGCGUAGAUCCUUCGGGGUUAGAUACACUUGUGCUAAGUUGUAGCUUUUCAUAGACAACUUGUUGACUAUGUUUAGUCAUGCGGCUUACUCGCUUGUGCUAUUUUACCUACGCUUAGGAUGUUGACUGAUAUGUAGUCGUA